AUGUAAGGUUUAAGAACUUAGCAGACGUUGCUAAGGCGGUCAGGUAUUUGGACAGGUCGAAAUUUGGUAGUAGAAUAUUGUGUUUGUCCCUCAUCGUGUGAGCGCGAGAGGUUGGCGUGAUGAUUAAGUCGAUAAUCUAGUCGCAUCGGUCGAUUUGCGGGCGUGUUUUGAUAGGCUAGAACACACAUGAAAGUAUUGUGUUACUAUUGGGUUGAGUAAUCGAUGGGUGAGUUUAAGGUACAUGAUGAAGUUCAUGUAAUAGAGCAUAUGAUAUUGUAAAAAAAACACUUUGUCCUGUUUGAAUUUAGCAAUUGGAUUUGGGUUACGUAAUCUAGUUGCAUCUUCUUUCGUAUAGGAUGAAGACCGAUGCUUCGUAUGCUCAGCCAGUGUGUGAAUGGUGUUCUGCAUCCCGUCAGUAGGCCUAUGUGAGUCGAAAGUUGUUGCCUCGGGAGCAGAGGUAUUCGAACAUCGAGAGAGGCUUGGCUAUCGUAUUUGCCAUUAAAAAACUGGACAAGUACCUGGCUGGCGUGAAGUUUCACCUUCAAACUGACCACAAGGCCUUAGCGUAUCUACGGAGCACGAACUUUACGAUUCACCGAGUUACGAUGCUCCAGGAUUACAACUUCGAAAUGUGUGCCACAAACGAGAGGACAAUAGACUAGUUAACAGACUUGUGCUCAAGACUAGUGUCAUUCUAGUAUAAAGACAUAAAAAAAAAACAUUAUAGUAUAGUAUUGUUAUGUACAUAUAUGUAUCAUGGAUAUAUAUAUAUAUGUAAUUUUUAUGCAUUGCAAUGUUAUUUAUUAUUUUCAUAAGGGGUGUUAUUCUUUGCGGCAGCAUCUAUUUGAAUAGUUGCUUGUUCCUGACAAUCUGAAGGUUGUAUUCUUCGGCUUCAGAGAAAACCAACAAACUUUUCAAAGCUAAGAAAACCUUGCGACUAAGAAGUAAUAGUGAAGAAAGACGGAGAAAAACAAGACGAAAGUCGGAUUCCACACAAGAGCCAAGGAUAUUGUGUAACAUAAUUGUAUGUGUAUUGUACUAAGAAUGGAUCUGAAGGUUAGUGGGCUAUGUAAAUGUAUGCAAGCAUUAGACAGCCAUCAACCACAUCACUAUUGUUACAUUCUUUUCAAGUUACUCCAUCUGUC